UGUUCUUUCAAGGUUCUAUUAUCUUAGAGGUUCUUUUUGUUCCUUCUUGUACCAAGCUGGUUCUUAGGGUCUUAAGUUCUUUCCUUGGUCUUCCUUAAUCCUUAUAAAGCUUGCAUCAACCUUGAAACAUCAUAAUGAUGCUGAAUUUAUAUUUAAAGUUUCUGGCAGGUAGGAAUAAUCUACUCCGAUGUCGGGUGUUCCCGACAUCAUCCUUGAACACCAACUGUUGGAUCUGAAGAUAUCUGAGUCUUCUAGAUUUUAUCCAAAUUUAGGGUAAAUCAUAUGGUUGAAUGUUGAGAUAUGGAAGAUUUUGUCCAGCUGACCUUAAUCUAGGAAAGAUUUUCUGGCCAAGGGUAUUAUUGUAAAUAAUUGGAACAACAUGGGUAUUUUGGUAUUUUGCCACUUUUUGAAUAUUUAUUUUGAAAAAUCCAAAUGGUUUCUAAAAAUAGUUUGUUCAUUUUUUUAUAAUUUUUCCCUUCUUGUCUGUCUUGUACAAGGCUAGUUCUUUGGGUCUGAAGUCUUCUUUUAUCGAUCACGGCUUCAUGUCCAAGUUGAUUGCAUUUGGAGUAGAAGGCGUUAGGUCUUCUCCAACACUUGUAUGGUGGAUGACCUU